UACACACUAAAAUUCAGUGCUAUCUAUGGUUUGGAGGAAUUGGAUUUAAUAUCUUGGAUCGUUUCCAUAGGGUUUGGAUAACACCAAGCAGCUUCACCGCCCUACUGACAUGGAAUUCACCAGCCUUCACUGAGAGGGAUUGGAAAUCAGAUGGCCCUCCAGAUGUUGCUGGACUACAAAUCCUAGUAGCCCUCACCAACAUACCCAACAGUGAGGAAUAAUGGUGGCGCACUCCAACAUUGAGAGCUCCAGAACUUCACACUGUCCUUGGAAAGAAGACAUCUUGCCAAUCAUCUGGGAAGAAUAAGAGCAAACAUGGUUCCUUGUGUUGCUUUCUUUCUUGGUUAGAACUAUAGUUUUUAUUAUCUUUCCAAUCUCCGUGUAUGUACUUAUUAAACAUUUGCUUUCCUGUUUUCCCUAAUAAAAAAGUCUUAAGUGU